GAUGAACGCUGGCGGCGUGCUUAACACAUGCAAGUCGAACGGGAAACCUUUUAUUGAAGCUUCGGCAGAUUUAGCUGGUUUCUAGUGGCGGACGGGUGAGUAACGCGUGGGUAACCUGCCUUAUACAGGGGGAUAACAGUCAGAAAUGGCUGCUAAUACCGCAUAAGCGCACAGAGCUGCAUGGCUCAGUGUGAAAAACUCCGGUGGUAUAAGAUGGACCCGCGUUGGAUUAGCUGGUUGGUGGGGUAACGGCCCACCAAGGCGACGAUCCAUAGCCGGCCUGAGAGGGUGAACGGCCUCAUUGGGACUGAGACACGGCCCAGACUCCUACGGGAGGCAGCAGUGGGGAAUAUUGCACAAUGGGGGAAACCCUGAUGCAGCGACGCCGCGUGAAGGAAGAAGUAUCUCGGUAUGUAAACUUCUAUCAGCAGGGAAGAUAAUGACGGUACCUGACUAAGAAGCCCCGGCUAACUACGUG
rnacentral:rRNA from 1 species